rnacentral:ncRNA from 1 species
UGCGGUAACGUGACCGAUCCCGGAGAAGCCGGCGGGAGCCCCGGGGAGAGUUCUCUUUUCUUUGUGAAGGGCAGGGCGCCCUGGAAUGGGUUCGCCCCGAGAGAGGGGCCCGUGCCUUGGAAAGCGUCGCGGUUCUGGCGGCAUCCGGUGAGCUCUCGCUGGCCCUUGAAAAUCCGGGGGAGA